GGCCUAUCUUUCGACAGCGAUCACGCCUACUAUCCGCGGGUCGCAAGACGAUGGCGCUGAACCUUAGAGUGGACUGCGGGCAGACCCGGGGGCAGUACCCGGCGCCUCCACCUUAGCAGCUUGAGCUUAAAGGUCUCAUCACGGUGAGAUCGAUUUGGCCGCAAGGCUAGAUUCCAAAGCUGCUAGGGCGGGGGCGAACCAGGAUCGAUGGUCGCAAUGAAGCUCUGAAUUGUGCUCGGCAUGAUACCGCCGUUAUCGGGUCAAAAACCUAAAUGCAAACGAUAACGUUGCAUUGAACGAAGUGCGCCUCGCGGCGUAACCUGUUCGGGGUUGGUCCACCUGGCAACAGAACGGCCAUCGCC
rfam:Afipia sp. GAS231 genome assembly, chromosome: I